rnacentral:rRNA from 1 species
ACGCUGGCGGCGUGCCUAACACAUGCAAGUCGAACGGAGUUAAUAUUUAUGAGAUCUUCGGAUGGAAUAGAAUUAACUUAGUGGCGGACGGGUGAGUAACACGUAAGCAAUCUGGCCUAAACAGGGGGAUAACAUUGGGAAACUGGUACUAAUACCGCAUUGAGACCACAGAGCGGCAUCGCUUAGGGGUCAAAGAUUUAUUGGUAGAGGGUGGGCUCGCGUCUGAUUAGCUAGAUGGCGGGGUAACGGCCCACCAUGGCGACGAUCAGUAGCCGGUCUGAGAGGAUGAACGGCCACAUUGGGACUGAGACACAGUCCAGACUCCUACGGGAGGCAGCAGUGAGGAAUAUUGGUCAAUGGAGGCAACUCUGAACCAGCCAAGUAGCGUGCAGGACGACGGCCCUAUGGGUUGUAAACUGCUUUUAUGCGGGGAUAAAUGAUCCUACGUGUAGGAUUUUGCAGGUACCGCAUGAAUAAGGACCGGCUAAUUCCGUG